GGAUGUGAGGGCGAUCUGGCUGUGACAUCUGUCACCCCACUGAUCUCCAGGUUGAUUAUCGGCUGAUGCCCCCUUCCUCCCUCAACGAUCCAUGUGUGUCCCUCCCAAAGGUGCGCGCUGGGUCAAAGAGGACAACCACCCCCGAUAGAGGAGGACCGUUCCUCAGUCAAGGAUAUACGAGUAGCUGAGCUCCCCUGCUAGAACCUCCAAACAAGCUCUCAAGAAAUAGGCCUACCUAAACCACUUCAAUAGACCACCUAAUUUUGGUAACAAAAACUUA
rnacentral:snRNA from 1 species